UACACACCGCCCGUCACACCAUGGGAGUGGGUUGCACCAGAAGUAGCUAGUCUAACCUUCGGGAGGGCGGUUACCACGGUGUGAUUCAUGACUGGGGUG
rnacentral:rRNA from 1 species